CCCUGAAUACCUUAGUAAUCCUCUAGAUUUCCUGUUUGUUGACAUAUUUACUGAGAAGCGCAAAACUGGGCACAGUACUCCAGAUGUAGCUUCAUCAGUGCCAGGGAAACAGCUGAAGGGCCCAGCCCAGGGCAGAACAUUAAGCGCAACCAGCUGCAUUCCCUGGUUCAGGGAGCUCUGCCACAGGCAUCAGAACUGCUGGACUGAUAUUGUCAAACAAAGUGAAGACAUUGGGUGGAAACCAAGACACCAAAGAUGAAGUCAAUAUUAAAUUACAUAAUGUGUAAAACAAGCAUGCAAACAGAAGAGGUUUUUUGAAGACCAUAAGAAAACCUGACAUUUGCCUCAGACCUGAAAGACACACAGGAUCCAAACUAGUCAACAUUCUAAGAAAUGGUGAAAAUCAGGAAAACUCCAGUCUGCUUAUUAGUGCAUUAGAUUUCAAGACAGAACUCAUUUUUGGAUGCAUGUUAAGACUAUGGGAAAGUGGUGUACAACAAGCUGCUGUUUGUCCCCUCUCCUCCAUGCUGUUUUGACAGAAGACUGUGCCAUGAAUUGGGACAGGGAACUGGCUUGAUGCCAUGACCACUUCCCCGGGGAGCCUGUUCCAGUGACAAACCACCCUCUCAGAGAAGAACAUUUUACUAGUGUUCAAUCUGAACCUCCCCUGAUGCAGCUUCAUUCCAUUCCACGUGUCACCGGAGAGAGAUCAGCACCCAUUCUUCACUGCCCACCUUGAGGAAGUUACAGGCUGCAAUGAGUAGAUUUUGUUAAAACUGAACCACAUUGCAGUUCAUAAAAUGACAAGU